rnacentral:ncRNA from 1 species
CCCCGACAGUUGCAUGGUGCAACUGACUUAACCCCAGACGAGGAGAUACAUAUG